rnacentral:rRNA from 1 species
GACGAACGCUGGCGGCGUGCUUAACACAUGCAAGUCGAACGGAGUGGCUAACGGGCGAGUAAUAAGUGGGUGACAUGCCCUGCACUUCGGGAUCAUCCUGGGUAACCGGGUCGAAUACUGGAUAGUGUGGGAUGGGCCCGGGGCCAAUCAGCUUGUUGGUGGGGUAAUGGCCUACCAAGGCGGUGACGGGUCGCCGGCCUGAGCGGGUGGACGGCGACAUUGGGACUGGGGCACGGCCCAGAGUGCUACGGGAGGCAGCAGUGAGGAAUAUGGCGCAAUGGGCGGAAGCAUGAUGGAGGGACGCCGCGUGGGGAAUGACGGCCUUCGGGUUGUAAACUCCUUGCACCAUCGACGCGGUAGAUGGAGAAGAAGCACCGGCUAACUACGUGCCAGCAGCCGCGGUAAUAC